UCCAUACACACCUGUGAACUUAAUGUAAGGGUCCGUAAAAAGGCCCCUACGUCUUUCAUCAUAAACCCAGUCUAAUAGAAUGUAAUCUAUGUCCUCGCCCUAAAAAAGCGUUGAUAAACUUAUACAACUUUCAACAACGGAUCUCUUGGCUCUCGCAUCGAUGAAGAACGCAGCGAAAUGCGAUAAGUAAUGUGAAUUGCAGAUUUUCAGUGAAUCAUCGAAUCUUUGAACGCACCUUGCGCUCCUUGGUAUUCCGAGGAGCAUGCCUGUUUGAGUGUCAUUAAAUUCUCAACCCCGAACCUUUUGGUUUCGGGGCUUGGACUUGGAGCGUGCUGGCCUUCCGGGGUCGGCUCCUCUCAAAUGCAUCAGCGGAAUCUAACCUUUGGUUUCCGGAAGUCGGUGUGAUAAUCAUGUUGCGCCGUCGUCUGACCUCAAAGUCCGCUUACAAUGGUCUUUGGACAACUUAUCAAAUUUGACCUCAAAUCAGGUAGGACUACCCGCUGAACUUAAGCAUAUC
rnacentral:rRNA from 1 species